CAUCCCUGCACAUCGCAGCUCCCUUCUUCCACUACGCCCAGCCCUGGAUGGUGGCUCUGGCUCUGGUCCUCGUGCUUUUGGCUGUGUCCAUUGGCCUCGGUGUUUAUCUCUUUCGAAAGCAAGCGGCAUAGAGCCGAGAGCUGG